rnacentral:rRNA from 1 species
AACGAACGCUGGCGGCAGGCCUAACACAUGCAAGUCGAGCGCCCCGCAAGGGGAGCGGCGGACGGGUGAGUAACGCGUGGGAACGUGCCCCUUUCUACGGAAUAGCCUCGGGAAACUGGGAGUAAUACCGUAUAAGCCCUACGGGGGAAAGAUUUAUCGGGAAGGGAUCGGCCCGCGUUGGAUUAGGUAGUUGGUGGGGUAAUGGCCUACCAAGCCGACGAUCCAUAGCUGGUUUGAGAGGAUGAUCAGCCACACUGGGACUGAGACACGGCCCAGACUCCUACGGGAGGCAGCAGUGGGGAAUCUUAGACAAUGGGCGCAAGCCUGAUCUAGCCAUGCCGCGUGAGCGAUGAAGGCCUUAGGGUUGUAAAGCUCUUUCAGUGGGGAAGAUAAUGACUGUACCCACAGAAGAAGCCCCGGCUAACUCCGUGCCAGCCGCCGCCGUAAAAC